rnacentral:rRNA from 1 species
AGUGAACGCUGGCGGUAGGCCUAACACAUGCAAGUCGAACGGCAGCACAGUAAGAGCUUGCUCUUACGGGUGGCGAGUGGCGGACGGGUGAGGAAUACAUCGUAAUCUACUUUUUCGUGGGGGAUAACGUAGGGAAACUUACGCUAAUACCGCAUACGACCUACGGUUGAAAGCAGGGGAUCUUCGGACCUUGCGCGAUUGAAUGAGCCGAUGUCGGAUUAGCUAGUUGGCGGGGUAAAGGCCCACCAAGGCGACGAUCCGUAGCUGGUCUGAGAGGAUGGUCAGCCACACUGGAACUGAGACACGGUCCAGACUCCUACGGGAGGCAGCAGUGGGGAAUAUUGGACAAUGGGCGGAAACCUGAUCCAGCCAUACCGCGUGGGUGAAGAAGGCCUUCGGGUUGUAAAGCCCUUUUGUUGGGAAAGAAAAGCAGCAGGUUAAUACCCAGCUGUUCUGACGGUACCCAAAGAAUAAGCACCGGCUAACUUCGUG